rnacentral:rRNA from 1 species
GGGUUGUGAGGUUAAGCGACUAAGCGUACACGGUGGAUGCCCUGGCAGUCAGAGGCGAUGAAGGACGUGCUAAUCUGCGAAAAGCGUCGGUAAGGUGAUAUGAACCGUUAUAACCGGCGAUGUCCGAAUGGGGAAACCCAGUGUGAUUCGUCACACUAUCGUUAACUGAAUACAUAGGUUAACGAGGCGAACCGGGGGAACUGAAACAUCUAAGUACCCCGAGGAAAAGAAAUCAACCGAGAUUCCCCCAGUAGCGGCGAGCGAACGGGGAGCAGCCCAGAGUCUGAAUCAGCUUGUGUGUUAGUGGAACGGUCUGGAAAGUCCGACGGUACAGGGUGAUAGUCCCGUACACCAAAAUGCACAGGCUGUGAACUCGAAGAGUAGGGCGGGACACGUGGUAUCCUGUCUGAAUAUGGGGGGACCAUCCUCCAAGGCUAAAUACUCCUGACUGACCGAUAGUGAACCAGUACCGUGAGGGAAAGGCGAAAAGAACCCCGGCGAGGGGAGUGAAAAAGAACCUGAAACCGUGUACGUACAAGCAGUGGGAGCACCUUCGGGUGUGACUGCGUACCUUUUGUAUAAUGGGUCAGCGACUUAUAUUCUGUAGCAAGGUUAACCGUAUAGGGGAGCCGCAGGGAAACCGAGUCUUAACUGGGCGUUAAGUUGCAGGGUAUAGACCCGAAACCCGGUGAUCUAGCCAUGGGCAGGUUGAAGGUUGGGUAACACUAACUGGAGGACCGAACCGACUAAUGUUGAAAAAUUAGCGGAUGACUUGUGGCUGGGGGUGAAAGGCCAAUCAAACCGGGAGAUAGCUGGUUCUCCCCGAAAGCUAUUUAGGUAGCGCCUCGUGAAUUCAUCUUCGGGGGUAGAGCACUGUUUCGGCUAGGGGGUCAUCCCGACUUACCAACCCGAUGCAAACUACGAAUACCGAAGAAUGUUAUCACGGGAGACACACGGCGGGUGCUAACGUCCGUCGUGAAGAGGGAAACAACCCAGACCGCCAGCUAAGGUCCCAAAGUCAUGGUUAAGUGGGAAACGAUGUGGGAAGGCACAGACAGCCAGGAUGUUGGCUUAGAAGCAGCCAUCAUUUAAAGAAAGCGUAAUAGCUCACUGGUCGAGUCGGCCUGCGCGGAAGAUGUAACGGGGCUAAACCAUGCACCGAAGCUGCGGCAGCGACACUAUGUGUUGUUGGGUAGGGGAGCGUUCUGUAAGCCUGCGAAGGUGACCUGUGAGGGUUGCUGGAGGUAUCAGAAGUGCGAAUGCUGACAUAAGUAACGAUAAAGCGGGUGAAAAGCCCGCUCGCCGGAAGACCAAGGGUUCCUGUCCAACGUUAAUCGGGGCAGGGUGAGUCGACCCCUAAGGCGAGGCCGAAAGGCGUAGUCGAUGGGAAACAGGUUAAUAUUCCUGUACUUGGUGUUACUGCGAAGGGGGGACGGAGAAGGCUAUGUUAGCCGGGCGACGGUUGUCCCGGUUUAAGCAUGUAGGCUGGUUAUCCAGGCAAAUCCGGAUAAUCAAGGCUGAGGUGUGAUGACGAGGCACUACGGUGCUGAAGUAACAAAUGCCCUGCUUCCAGGAAAAGCCUCUAAGCAUCAGGUAACAUCAAAUCGUACCCCAAACCGACACAGGUGGUCAGGUAGAGAAUACCAAGGCGCUUGAGAGAACUCGGGUGAAGGAACUAGGCAAAAUGGUGCCGUAACUUCGGGAGAAGGCACGCUGGUGUGUAGGUGAAGUCCCUGCGGAUGGAGCUGAGACCAGUCGAAGAUACCAGCUGGCUGCAACUGUUUAUUAAAAACACAGCACUGUGCAAACACGAAAGUGGACGUAUACGGUGUGACGCCUGCCCGGUGCCGGAAGGUUAAUUGAUGGGGUUAUCCGUAAGGAGAAGCUCUUGAUCGAAGCCCCGGUAAACGGCGGCCGUAACUAUAACGGUCCUAAGGUAGCGAAAUUCCUUGUCGGGUAAGUUCCGACCUGCACGAAUGGCGUAAUGAUGGCCAGGCUGUCUCCACCCGAGACUCAGUGAAAUUGAACUCGCUGUGAAGAUGCAGUGUACCCGCGGCAAGACGGAAAGACCCCGUGAACCUUUACUAUAGCUUGACACUGAACAUUGAGCCUUGAUGUGUAGGAUAGGUGGGAGGCUUUGAAGCGUGGACGCCAGUCUGCGUGGAGCCAACCUUGAAAUACCACCCUUUAAUGUUUGAUGUUCUAACGUUGGCCCCUUACCGGGGUUGCGGACAGUGUCUGGUGGGUAGUUUGACUGGGGCGGUCUCCUCCCAAAGCGUAACGGAGGAGCACGAAGGUUAGCUAAUCCUGGUCGGACAUCAGGAGGUUAGUGCAAUGGCAUAAGCUAGCUUGACUGCGAGCGUGACGGCGCGAGCAGGUGCGAAAGCAGGUCAUAGUGAUCCGGUGGUUCUGAAUGGAAGGGCCAUCGCUCAACGGAUAAAAGGUACUCCGGGGAUAACAGGCUGAUACCGCCCAAGAGUUCAUAUCGACGGCGGUGUUUGGCACCUCGAUGUCGGCUCAUCACAUCCUGGGGCUGAAGUAGGUCCCAAGGGUAUGGCUGUUCGCCAUUUAAAGUGGUACGCGAGCUGGGUUUAGAACGUCGUGAGACAGUUCGGUCCCUAUCUGCCGUGGGCGCUGGAGAAUUGAGGGGGGCUGCUCCUAGUACGAGAGGACCGGAGUGGACGCAUCACUGGUGUUCGGGUUGUCAUGCCAAUGGCACUGCCCGGUAGCUAAAUGCGGAAGAGAUAAGUGCUGAAAGCAUCUAAGCACGAAACUUGCCCCGAGAUGAGUUCUCCCUGAGACUUUAAGUCUCCUGAAGGAACGUUGAAGACGACGACGUUGAUAGGCCGGGUGUGUAAGCGCAGCGAUGCGUUGAGCUAACCGGUACUAAUGAACCGUGAGGCUUAACCUUACAACGCCGAAG